rnacentral:lncRNA from 1 species
UUUUACAAGAGCGCCAAUGAUGAGCAUGAGAGAAGUGUGCUAAAAAAGUUGCAGCAACAAUGUGGUGGUCUAUUUACAUAAAAAAAAAAAAAUGGAGAGAAUGGUUAGCUCAUGUUAUCUAUAUGCUGAAUCACAGCUCUCAUCGCGAUCUUAACAUCACCUCUGUUUCACCUUUUUCAACUAUUCCAAGUUUUAACACUAAAAAGAGAAAAUCAAACCAGCUUUGAAGAGUAUCUUAGCAAUAAUCCAAAUGCAAGUCCCUGGAUUGAUUUGAUUGUUACUGUCUUGACUACUAGUUUCUGGCCAAGUUACAACUCCUUUGAUCUUAAUCUCUCUGCUGAGAUGGUACGAAUGUAAGCAAUGUCUCUUUUUAAUGGAAUAGAUCGAUUGACACUAUAUUUCUUUAUUACUAUGAACUUCUGUGUUAGGUCAAGUGCGUUGAAGUAUUUAGAAACUUCUACUAGACGAAAAUGAAACACAAAAAACUAACAUGGAUAUAUUCUUUGGGUACUUGUAACGUCAACAGAAAAUUUGAACAAAGAACUAUAGAGUUGAUCGUGACAACCCACCAAGUGAUUUAAUAUGACUAACUUGUAAUUGAUAUCACUUGAUGACUGAAAGUUCUUUCCCUUUUUGUAGGCUGCUGCAUUGCUUUUGUUCAAUUCGUCAGAUAGAUUAAGUUAUAAGAAAAUAAUGACAAAGUUGAAUCUAUUAGAUGAUGAUGUUGUCAGGUUGCUGCAUUCCUUUCAUGUGCUAAGUAUAAGAUUCUUAACAAGGAGCCAAACAUUAAAACAGUUUCUUCAACUGAUGUUUUUGAAUUCAACUCCAAGUUUACCGAUAAAAUGAGAAGAAUCAAGGUAAUCACUCACCCCAACCCCAUUCUCCCGAAAGCCAAGUGGGAGAGAGAAAAAUGAUAAGGCAGCUAAAGAUUACUUUUAUAACUCAGCACUCAACUCGUGGCCCAGGUUCAUGUUAGUCACUGAACUUUAUUUUCCAAAGUGGCUAAUGUAGUUUGCGUGUUGCUUCUGUUAGAUCCUCAGUAAAAAUCUAUUAAUUUCUAAUGGAAUGUCUGACUCGGACCUCCAUGUUGAUGCCACAUUAGAUUGUUGUCUUCCAUGUUGGACAGUUUUUUAAAAAGAAUCAAAAAGUGAACUUCAUUUACAAUUUGAAAAAUAAAUAAAGUAUGGUGAAUAAAAUAAAACUUUGAUAUCAGUUGAGUGACUGACUAUGUUUUGAUCCCGAGGGUAAAAUGAAAAGAGGAAUACGAAGUAAAAUAAAUUCUAAUGUUAUUGCAUUGUUUUCAUAUACAUUAUCUGUUUGUAACCGUUGCCAUGGAAGUGCAGAUCUCUCUCCCUCUAAUCGAUGAGAAGAAAAAGAUAAUUGAAGGUGUUGACAAGGAAAGAUGGUACGCCAUAGAUGCUUAAGUUGUGCUUAUAAUGAAAUAUAUGAAAGUUUUAGGUUAUCAACAGUUGGUUAUGGAGUGUGUAAGAGCAAUUGGGGUACGUGUUCAAGGUUCUUCUAGUUGACCGAUUUAUUUUGUUCUGAUUGAACUAAUGAAAUAUAAAUGUGCACUCUAUAGCCCGAUGUUAUUGAAGAAUUGAUCAAUCAAGAUCAUUUGGAGAUCCAGAGUCGUUCAAAUACUUGUCUUUAUUCAUGUAUUCCAAUCUUAAUGUAUAUCUGUGCAAAGAGGAUGAGGACAUAUGGUCAACCACAAACAUCUCAAGUGACCUUUGGUUGCUUCAAUGAAAUACAAAAUUUAACCUAAAAGUGAGUCUCACACAUCGUCUAAAACAGUUUAAUAAUUUCCAUUCUAGUAUUCAAGAUAAUCCAGCCUCCUUCCAUCUUCGUAGUGCCAUCCUUGUAUGUUUAAUCUGG